rnacentral:rRNA from 1 species
UGGGGAAUAUUGGACAAUGGGGGCAACCCUGAUCCAGCCAUGCCGCGUGAGUGAAGAAGGCCUUCGGGUUGUAAAGCUCUUUCAGAUGCGAAGAUGAUGACGGUAACAUCAGAAGAAGCCCCGGCUAAUUUCGUGCCAGCAGCCGCGGUAAUACGAAAGGGGCUAGCGUUGUUCGGAUUUACUGGGCGUAAAGGGCACGCAGGCGGUCUUGCCAGUCAGGGGUGAAAGCCCGGGGCUCAACCCCGGAACUGCCUCUGAUACUGCAAGACUAGAGACUAGGAGAGGGUGGUGGAAUUCCCAGUGUAGAGGUGAAAUUCGUAGAUAUUGGGAGGAACACCAGAGGCGAAGGCGGCCACCUGGACUAGAUCUGACGCUCAGGUGCGAAAGCGUGGGGAGCAAACAGGAUUAGAUACCCUGGUAGUCCACGCCGUAAACGAUGAGUGCUAGUUGUCGGGACUUCGGUUUCGGUGACGCAGCUAACGCAUUAAGCACUCCGCCUGGGGAGUACGGUCGCAAGAUUA